GACGAACGCUGGCGGCGUGCUUUACACAUGCCAGUCGAACGGAAAGGCCCUGCUUUUGUGGGGUGCUCGAGUGGCGAACGGGUGAGUAACACGUGAGUAACCUGCCCUUGACUUUGGGAUAACUUCAGGAAACUGGGGCUAAUACCGGAUAGGAGCUCCUGCUGCAUGGUGGGGGUUGGAAAGUUUCGGCGGUUGGGGAUGGACUCGCGGCUUAUCAGCUUGUUGGUGGGGUAGUGGCUUACCAAGGCUUUGACGGGUAGCCGGCCUGAGAGGGUGACCGGCCACAUUGGGACUGAGAUACGGCCCAGACUCCUACGGGAGGCAGCAGUGGGGAAUAUUGCACAAUGGGCGGAAGCCUGAUGCAGCAACGCCGCGUGCGGGAUGACGGCCUUCGGGUUGUAAACCGCUUUCGCCUGUGACGAAGCGUGAGUGACGGUAAUGGGUAAAGAAGCACCGGCUAACUACGUG
rnacentral:rRNA from 1 species